GACGAACGCUGGCGGCGUGCCUAAUACAUGCAAGUCGAGCGGACAGAAGGGAGCUUGCUCCCGGACGUUAGCGGCGGACGGGUGAGUAACACGUGGGCAACCUGCCCCUUAGACUGGGAUAACUCCGGGAAACCGGAGCUAAUACCGGAUAAUCCCUUUCUCCACCUGGAGAGAGGGUGAAAGAUGGCUUCGGCUAUCACUAGGGGAUGGGCCCGCGGCGCAUUAGCUAGUUGGUAAGGUAACGGCUUACCAAGGCGACGAUGCGUAGCCGACCUGAGAGGGUGAUCGGCCACACUGGGACUGAGACACGGCCCAGACUCCUACGGGAGGCAGCAGUAGGGAACUUCCGCAAGGACGAAAGUCUGACGGAGCAACGCCGCGUGAGUGAGGAAGGCCUUCGGGUCGUAAAGCUCUGUUGUGAGGGAAGAAGCGGUACCGUUCGAAUAGGGCGGUACCUUGACG
rnacentral:rRNA from 2 species